UAUUCAUCAAAUAUAUCCCUUUAAUUUGUAGUAUUUUGCGCGCCCAUGCUUACUGGAAUAGGAUUUAUUUAAUUUACAUAGAUACAUUGACAUUAACUUCACAAGAUCAGACGAUACAUUUAUUUAUGUUCUAAAUAUAUAGAAGCCUAUGCUAUUAAUUGGUAAAAGCUAGGAUCAAGUGCUUGGAGUUCUUUGCUUUGCUUGGAGGGUGGUCUUCCGGUUCUGGUUCCUGCGUGAGGGAAUCACAAUUGAAUAUGAGGUAUAAAAUAAUAAAAACUGAUACUUCGGACGUAAGAAGCUGCGAUUUGGUUUGCUAAGAGGCGGUUCGUUAUAAAAGGUUCAUUACAAAAAUUAGACAAUAUCAGGAUAGCAAUAGUUAAGGAUUAACAUCGGUUGGAAAAAUUGUUACUAGUUUACUUCUUCGCUGUUAGUUAACCAUGCUAUUCUUACAUUUCAAACAUCCUAAGAGAUAAAAACAAAGAUAUAUGGUAUCAAUAGAAAAAAUGCUGAAUUAUUGAACCAUGGUCUUGCUUACCUUGACUUUGAAUUCUUCACUUCAACCACUGCUGUUGUACAUGGAAGCUUAUUUUGCGAUAUCUUGAGUUGCAUAUUAUCCAUAGAUAAGUCACUUGAAUUCUUUGGAUGAAACCUAUUGC
rnacentral:lncRNA from 1 species